AGCCCUGAAAGCUGAAGCUGCAGAACAGUCACCUUAUCAGACACCUACAGCAUUCCAGCAGGCUUUUGGAGCUGAGCCUCAACAGUCUCCAGAUGACUCCAGAGUAAGAGCUGAAGGAACAGAAUGAAGACCAAAACAUCUGAGGAGUGUUUAAACAGGGUGUGAGCAGAAUCGCAAGCAACAUCUUUCAGUCUGACAAGCCUUGAGCCGGGAAAAUAACUUUCAUCCAGCAAAUGUCGAAGGUUGACAGCAUCUUCCUCAGCGUUUGACAGGAGGACAUGGUCUGGCAGCACCUUAUGGAGAACCUGGCAUCACAAAUUGGUUGAUUCUAUCUUGCAGCCCUGAGCAGUCUGAACUGUGGACACUGACCUGAGAAACAUCCUGCAGGGAGACCAUCUGGCUGCCUGUAUGCUCCUCAGCAUUAACAGCCACUUGGAUGAGUCUGUUUUUAUCGCAGAGCUUUAGAGCUAUUUUUUUUUCAUGACCCUAUGUGGGAGGUGACUCCACUUGAACUUUGACACUGACCUCUUUUUUUGAAUAAUUCAAUGUUAUUUGUAUGGUAUUAUACACGGUCUCCCGUAAAGUUGGGAUAAACAUUUUUUUUAUUUUUUUUACCUUUUUCCAUUAUAUGAUUGUGACAGUGUGAUUUAUUAUUGACAGAUAAAGUGUAUAUCUUCUCAAA